rnacentral:rRNA from 1 species
UACAGAGGGUGCAAGCGUUAAUCGGAAUUACUGGGCGUAAAGCGUGUGUAGGUGGUUAGAUAAGUUAGAUGUGAAAUCCCCGGGCUUAACCUGGGCACUGCGUUUAAGACUGUUUAACUAGAGUACUGUAGAGGAUAGUGGAAUUUCCAGUGUAGCGGUGAAAUGCGUAGAUAUUGGAAGGAACACCAGUGGCGAAGGCGACUAUCUGGAUAGAUACUGACACUGAGACACGAAAGCGUGGGGAGCAAACAGG